rnacentral:rRNA from 1 species
UAGGGAAUCUUCCGCAAUGGACGAAAGUCUGACGGAGCAACGCCGCGUGAGUGAUGAAGGUUUUCGGAUCGUAAAGCUCUGUUGUUAGGGAAGAACAAGUACCGUUCGAAUAGGGCGGUACCUUGACGGUACCUAACCAGAAAGCCACGGCUAACUACGUGCCAGCAGCCGCGGUAAUACGUAGGUGGCAAGCGUUGUCCGGAAUUAUUGGGCGUAAAGGGCGCGCAGGCGGUUUCGUAAGUCUGAUGUGAAAGCCCCCGGCUCAACCGGGGAGGGGCAGUGGAAACUGGGGAGCUUGAGUGCAGAAGAGGAGAGUGGAAUUCCACGUGUAGCGGUGAAAUGCGUAGAGAUGUGGAGGAACACCAGUGGCGAAGGCGACUCUCUGGUCUGUAACUGACGCUGAGGAGCGAAAGCGUGGGGAGCGAACA